AACCAUAGAAACCUGCGGAGUACCUGCGGAAGGAUCGUUACCGAGUUAUACAACUCAUCAACCCCUGUGAACUUACCUACAACGUUGCUUCGGCGGGAACAGACGGCCCCGUAAAACGGGCCGCCCCCGCCAGAGGACCCCUAACUCUGUUUUUAUAAUGUUUUUCUGAGUAAACAAGCAAAUAAAUUAAAACUUUCAACAACGGAUCU
rnacentral:misc_RNA from 1 species